rnacentral:rRNA from 1 species
UAGGGAAUCUUCGGCAAUGGGGGCAACCCUGACCGAGCAACGCCGCGUGAGUGAAGAAGGUUUUCGGAUCGUAAAGCUCUGUUGUAAGUCAAGAACGGGUGUGAGAGUGGAAAGUUCACACUGUGACGGUAGCUUACCAGAAAGGGACGGCUAACUACGUGCCAGCAGCCGCGGUAAUACGUAGGUCCCGAGCGUUGUCCGGAUUUAUUGGGCGUAAAGCGAGCGCAGGCGGUUUGAUAAGUCUGAAGUUAAAGGCUGUGGCUCAACCAUAGUUCGCUUUGGAAACCGUCAAACUUGAGUGCAGAAGGGGAGAGUGGAAUUCCAUGUGUAGCGGUGAAAUGCGUAGAUAUAUGGAGGAACACCGGUGGCGAAGCGGCUCUCUGGUCUGUAACUGACGCUGAGGCUCGAAAGCGUGGGGAGCGAACAGGAUUAGAUACCCUGG